rnacentral:rRNA from 1 species
AUGGGGUGCAGCAGGCGCGAAACCUCCGCAAUGCGGGAAACCGCGACGGGGGACCCCCAGUGCCGUGGCAACGCCACGGCUUUUCCGGAGUGUAAAAAGCUCCGGGAAUAAGGGCUGGGCAAGGCCGGUGGCAGCCGCCGCGGUAAUACCGGCGGCCCGAGUGGUGGCCGCUAUUAUUGGGCCUAAAGCGUCCGUAGCCGGGCCCGUAAGUCCCUGGCGAAAUCCCACGGCUCAACCGUGGGGCUUGCUGGGGAUACUGCGGGCCUUGGGACCGGGAGAGGCGGGGGGUACCCCUGGGGUAGGGGUGAAAUCCUAUAAUCCCAGGGGGACCGCCAGUGGCGAAGGCGCCCCGCUGGAACGGGUCCGACGGUGAGGGACGAAGGCCAGGGGAGUGAACCGGAUUAGAUACCCGGGUAGUCCUGGCUGUAAAGGAUGCGGGCUAGGUGUCGGGUGAGCUUCGAGCUCGCCCGGUGCCGUAGGGAAGCCGUUAAGCCCGCCGCCUGGGGAGUACGGCCGCAAGGCUGAAACUUAAAGGAAUUGGCGGGGGAGCAC